GAUUGAACAGAGCAUGGCAAUGAGACCAGCAGCACUUUCACAACAGUGCCUGAAGCUCGUAUCAACCAGAAUCCUAACAGCAAGCCCAACGCAACCACCUCCAGGGUCUACAUGCUGCCCCAGAGCAGGAGAGAAUAGAGUUGCAGCUAACUGCUCAGAAACUGUACAUCACUAUAGCCCAACAACCAAGUGAGAGAGACUGCUACUAAUGGGUCAAUAACAACUGUGGAGAUUCUGAAUCAUUGGAGCGCUCGACAAAAGAAAGCUAAUGGAUGAUGUGAAAAUCCACAUAUGCCCAUGAGAGUAUAUUGAGCACAUAAAUGUUGUUGCUUGGUGUGUUCCUGAGAAGAGACAUUUGAGAACCACUGUUUUGGAGUCAGAAGCAGCACAGAAGAAUUCAUUUCAGCUCCAAAUGGGUUAUUUAACCACUGGCUGUCAGACAUGUAGACAGCGUCAUGUUUUAGUUUGACCUAGAUUUGUAAUGGGAUGCGCCUAAUUCCUUCAAUGAAAUGAAACUUUAAUGAAUCUUUAGGUAGAACUCUUAAGUGCCAAAAAACCAUUUUCCCAGAGCUAGUGUGAACUUCUUGACAAACUAAAGAAUUUACUCUUUUUGAGCCAAGAGGAAACCUCUGUUUGUUAUACACUCCCAUGCCAUUUGAUUAUUGAGGGAGAAGGAAUGGGAGUGGUAUCCAAAACAGAUGGGAAGGUGAGCACCACGUGCUUAUUGUCCCUGGGAGUGGACCCUUCCUUGCCCUCAAUGUAUGUGCUAAAUGAAGUCGGAUGUGGUCAGUCAAGUGGUUGUAGCUAAAUUAGACUGUUCAUGGGAAUCAGCUUCUUUGGCCUAUUACAGAGACCUUAAAUACCAUUUUAUAAAUCCUGAAAAUAAGUCUUUCUCUAGAUAAACAUCAGUAAAGAAAGGAUUGGGGGGAUACUACUAAACACCUUACAUUUAUAGACAUCUUAUAGAUUUUAUACUUGGAAAAAAUACUAUUUUGUAACCUGACAUGGCAGCCAAUACAGGAAAACCAAUGAAAGAUUCACAUGCAGGGAGAGUCGUGUUCCUACAGCAGGAAAUAAUUAUGGUCAGCCAUGUGGGAGUAGAGUCAUCCCAAAGUUAGCUGACUACAGUGGAUUAAGUUCACAUCUGGCUGAUAGAGACGAUCCAAAAAUGAUUCUGGGAAUGCAGGAAAGCAUUUGACAGGGCUGUGAUUUUGUCUAUCUUUGUGAGCACCAGCUGACAGUGCUUCAUCCAUGCAUUCAUUAUGACAUCAUUUUAUGGACAAUUCAUGGACCAAGAAGAUCUGAGAAUCCCUGGGGUGAUGGGAAAUGCCACGGACAUCCAUGGUCUUGGAUGCUCAGUGAGUAAACAAUGAUUUUUAAGCAGUUCCCAAGGCCUGAGAAAUAGUUGGUCGUCACCCAGGUCUACACCCUUCAGCAUGAGUUUUCUUGGGGAGGAGCUGGAUAUGUCUGCAAGCCCCAUACUGGCCCCACAUGUCUCUAACUAACUAGAGUAAAUAAAGCUAAUAUGGAGGAGAUUGUCUUGAACUGAACUCUUAUGGAAAAUGUUUGCACGAGGAGUCUGAAUGCUAAGACACUAAUGUCUCAUUUCAUUGGUGCCAGUUAAUGCCCUGUCAUAGCACUGGCAUGCAUAAGGCAUGAGUGCAGUGUUGCUCUGGAAAAACAAAAAGAAAUUCAGAAAAUUCUUACACCUGCAUGCCUAAGCCUUCAUGAUUAUAAUAUUUUAAGCAUUAUAUGGAAAGAUACACUUUCAGCUUAGUAGAUAAUAGGUACAGAUACAUGCACACAUAUAUAUAUUCAUACUCAUAUAUAGAUAUAUAUAGAAUCAUCCAUCUUGGACAUUCAACUGACUUCUCCUAUAUUAGCUCUCAUAACUCUCAAGAUUCUACAUGAUAUCUAAACUAGGCUUAUUUUCUUCCAUCAUACCUCUAUUCUGCAUUUCCACUCCUACC